rnacentral:antisense_RNA from 1 species
UUUUUUGCCCCCAUUAUCCUCCUUUCUGUGUAAACAUUAAUUCAUUUUCUCCCAUCUUUUCUACCCAGCAGAUCUUAAAGAGAGGAAGAGAUUGUAAUGUUCUUCAGGGGAAGCCUUUUGAGAUUGAAAUAUCAUACUUUGAAUGAUAACUCUAUAUCUAUCUAUAAUAUACUAUGGUUUAAUGUUUGGAAAUCAAAUGCAGUAUUUAUUUUUCAUGUGAACUACUAAAAGUAAAUCUGCAUGGACUUCUUGCCUGGUGAGUUACACAGAAAAUGAAAGUGAUUAUCAGUGGCUGUUGCAAGACUGAAGGAACCAUGCCAGAACUUCUGAGGGCAGGAAGAGUGUUUGGGACUGAAAAAUCCUUGUCUGGAUCUAGUCCUCAGCCACUCAGAAGCUGGCAUGCCAUGACUCAAAGGGCUGCCCGUCUGGAAUGAAGACAGUGCCCCAGAACUCCCACCUGAAGAGCAGGUGCUUGGAAAAUGCUGCCAGUCCACAGGAAAAAGUUGUUACUGCUGCUGUCUGUGACCAAGAGGACACUUUAUUUCUUGAAACAACUGGGGGCAAACUGGCUCCCAGAUAAGGCUUCAGUCCCUACUCAUGUGAGGAAACCAGCCCUGCACCUGAGAGUUUAUUCAGUGACGAUAAUACUCACAAGACCCUUUUUGGAUUUGUGGCCCAACCCACAAGUUAUAGUUCCUUCUCUGAAUAUUUCAUCCAGAUUGUGAAAAGCAGCUUCUGGCAGCCACAGUUGUACUAUGUGACCCCUACUUCCCAUGCCCAGGAGUGAUUCGACCCCGUAGUAGACACCUAAAGCAAUCCCGAUCAAUCAGAGUCUUUGUUCCUGACAUUUGGGAUUAGAGCAUGGCUGAAGGUUUAAGACACAAACUUGGAAGCUGUGGGGCAGCAAUACACCUCCAUGAGGACAGAGAAGCAGGGGAAAUAAGAAUAAAGCAGAAGCUCACAGAAACGCAGGAAAUACUUCUAGAGUUCUAACACUUUUCGGGUUUCUUGUUCUAGUCCAUUCUUGACACACUUGUGCCUUACAGAAGCCAAUGGCAAGAAUGCAGUCAGAUCCUUCCAAUAAAUUCCUUUUAUUCUCUUUA